rnacentral:rRNA from 1 species
CCCUAGUAUAUAUAAGUAUUAUAAGAGAUUAGUAAUUUUGAAAAUUAAAGAGUUUAGCGGUUCAUUAAUAAUUUAGAGGAGCUUGUUUUUAAUAAGUAUUUACUCUAUUUAUUUUAGGAAUAAGAGCUUAUUCAUCUCCGUUAUUAAAGGAAAUUUAUAAGAAAAUUUUUAUUUAAGAUUUCAGGUCAAGAUGUAGCAUUUAUUUAAUAAAAUUAGCUACAAUUAUGAUAAAUAAUGGAAUUUUUAUAUAUUUAAGUAUAAGAUGAAAUUGAAUUUAGAUGUAAUAUUAGCUAGAAAGCUAAUAUGAAUUUUAUUUAAUGGAUGU